rnacentral:rRNA from 1 species
AAGUCGGAAUCGCUAGUAAUCGCGGAUCAGCAUGCCGCGGUGAAUACGUUCCCGGGCCUUGUACACACCGCCCGUCACACCAUGGGAGCCGGUAAUACCCGAAGUCAGUAGUCCAACCUCGUGAGGACGCUGCCGAAGGUAGGAUUGGCGACUGGGGUGAAGUCGUAACAAGGUAGC